rnacentral:rRNA from 1 species
AAUAUUGGACAAUGGGCGAAAGCCUGAUCCCGUCAUGCCGCGUGUGCUAAGAAGCUCUUCGGUUUGUAAAGCACUUUAAGUGGGGGGGCAGGGCAGUAAGUUAAUACCUUGUUGUUUUGACGUUACCGACAGAAUAAGCACCGGCUACUUCUGUGCCAGCAGCCGCGGUAAUACAGAGGGUGCAAGCGUUAAUGGGAAUUACUGGGCGUAAAGCGCGCGUAGGUGGUUCAGUAAGAUGGGUGUGAAAUCCCCGGGCUUAACCUGGGAACUGCUUUCAUAACUGCUGAGCUAGAGUAUGGCAGAGGGUGGUGGAAUUUCCUGUGUAGCGGUGAAAUGCGUAGAUAUAGGAAGGGACACCAGUGGCGAAGGCGACCACCUGGGCUAAUACUGACACUGAGGUGCGAAAGCGUGGGGAGCAAAC